UGUGUGUAAGUAUUUUAAAAGCUUCCUGAAUAAGAUGAAGAAUUAAAAGGGCAAGUUAGCUGCUGCAUAAUAGCUCCAGAGGCCUAAAGGAAAAUGCACUGGCGUUCCAAGCCUGGGAUUGUGUGUUAGAGUCCAAUCUGGGAUCACUUACAGCAGAGUGGCGCAGCGGAAGCGUGCUGGGCCCAUAACCCAGAGGUUGAUGGAUGGAAACCUCUCUCUGCUGUUUCUUCUUUAACUUCCAGACAUGCCUGAGUCUCCAAUAAAGGGGCAACAUCCAAAGCCUGGUCAUGAAAAUCUUUGUCCUCUCUUUUUAUGUCAUUCAUCCAG
ensembl:lncRNA